AAUUAUAGACUAUUAAUAAUUAUAUUAACAAGUAUAGUGUGUAAUUAUGCUAUUUGAAUAAUAUUUAAUAACGUAAUAUAUAAUAUAGGAUCAUAGAACCCCUACGAACCACUCUCCCAGCCCAUAGAAUCGCUAGGUUUACCUUGUACCUAAAGCUUUUUGUGAUUCUGCUUGCUUCCUUUCCGUCCCACUAAAACAGGCUUAACGUUGCUUCCAACCUGCAAGGCUCCCUUUCUCUCCUUUCCCUUUUCCUGGGGUGGGGGUGUUUGGGACUAAAAGCUGCCCAGGUUUUGCCGCUGACAUGACCGGGACGGUGGGGAUAAACCGGGACACAGGAGCAUUCCCUCAGAGCUCCUGAGAGAUGGGGCUGAGAGCAGGCAUCCCAGGGUGCCGAGAGUGUUCUCCGGCACAGUCAGCAGGGUUCCUGGUCCAUCCCAAGGAAGCCAAAGGGACAGGAUGGGAAGGACUGGUGGGGACGAAGCUACGGGGCUUCCUCCCCCAGAGAACUUCCCUUGGAAAUGGAUCUCACACUUGGAAAAUCUCCAAACACCAUCAGAGCAGGAAAACCCCACUGAGGGCAACAAAGGGCCAGCCUGCAGCAUCGAGGACCAAGUGGCCCGUGCCCUCACCUCCCUCAUGAGCCGCCUGAGGAACAGCUUCUUUGCCGUGUAUGCAUGACCCAUUCCUGCUGUGGGCUGGUGAGAAUGGGGAUGUCUGAGGGUUAAUGCAAGCCCAGGGGAGAGCAGAGGGUGCUCUCCACCUAGCAGCCAAAGGGCUCCCACUCUGGUGCCGAAGCUCGGGCACGGCUCGUGCUGGGGCUGCUUCCAGGCAGAGCGAAGAGCAAAAGCCCCUCAGCAGACGCACUGCCACACAAGAUCUGUGUGACAUCAAGGGAGAACAGACCUGCUUCCCAGACAAAGAGAGAGAAAGGGCCACACCGGAGAGGCUGUGGCAAAGCAAGCUUCAUUUUCUCCACCUCUUCACUUCCCCGGAUUGUUUUCCUUUCCUUUUGGACAGUGCUCCUGAAGCCCUUCCUUUGGGGAAGAGCUACUGGCAGUGUUGAACGGCGUGGAGAGAAAUCCCGUUCCUCCUGGAUGCUGCUCUGUCACCUCACUGCCAGCAGCAGUUUUUCAGCCCCGGGAGGGAAAUGCACCUGGAAAGGCUUUACCCGAGACUUGGGCCCUUGACAGCCACCGGACUCCCUCUUUUCCAGAAAAGAGACAGUGCUGCAGCGAGAGCAGCUCUCGAAAAUCCUGCUUGUGGCAUUUGUGUUAUUUCUCAGUGAGUUUUCCUGAGCAAACCUGGGAAGGCGACAGCCCAGCUGUGCUGCAUGCCAGCUUCCAGCUUUCCUUUGGGGCCAGGACGUGGCCCAAGCGCUUCCUGAGCACAGCCAUGCCCGGCACUGGCUUUUGGCCUCCCAGUCAGACCAGCAGCGUCCUGGCCGAGGUGAUACUCCAGCCAUGGGAGCAAGUGGCUCGCUCCGUCGGCGGGAGAUGAGCGCAGCUAUUCCCAAGCCUCAACUGGGGAUUGCCGGAGGGGAGAGCCGUGCAGGGGGAGCGAUGGAGAGGUGCCUCCCAGCCCGUGGAGCCUGGUCUGGGUGCUCCCUGAAGCACUGAGGGGGAACGGGGCAGGGCUGCGGGGCACCGAGCACGCCUGGGACCCAGCCUGGUCCCCUCCACCCCUGGAACGGCCAGGAGACUGCACCUGCCGGGAUCGCUGGCCACCCCGCUCCAAUCAAUGCCUCUUGGUUCUGCUGCAGCUAUUGUUUUUGGCUGGACCUGGUGCACAUCAGGAACACAGAGAAAGACAGAGGUGGGGGACUGUGGUGGGGCCGGCACGUCCUGCGAGGGAGCGCUGCUGCCGGGGGCUGGGUCCAGCUGAGGCUCUUGAGCUGCCACGCAGGGUGGCCCAAAGCAGCAGCUUUUGCCGGCUCUUCCUAGGGGAGCCUCUCCUGGGAAGCCCCAGUGGCUCUGGCAGGGGAUGCUCAAACACAGUGUUUUUCCAUUUUCAGGGACAGACAAGUGUCAUAGAUAACAAUCUGGAGAAGCUGAGGUGAGAGCUUUCAAGGACCCUACUAACAGGCAGUGUGAAUUGCAAUGAACUAAGCUUUUCCCUUAUAUGGUGCGGUUUACAAUAAACUAAGAUGCUUCGAAGUUUCUUUCCCUAUAUCUUAUAUGUUUGCCUAUCAAUUCCGCCCUGUCUUUAAUGCUAGGCAAAGUUGUUUGCGUUAUACAUGAUCUGUUUCUCGAAGGGAAUGGGAUAAUACUUUGCUUGAAAUUUUCCCCUCAAUGCAUUCUUAAGCGCAGUAGACAUACAAGUUAGAACUGUCACUCGCUGUAACAUUUUCCCAUUCCAAACAAACAGUAUAACAGACAAAGCAAGGCUGACUAAAACUAGUAUUAAAAGAAUGACAAUGGUGUGACUCAACUUAUUUAGAAUGUCAGUCGCAGCAGGUGACCAUCCAAAAAGUACAUCCCACCAAGUCUUGGCUUGCAUCUUCUUUCACCCUUUUCAGGACCCUAUUUAUUUCCCCUGUGUCUUGAUGGAUUGUUAUCAGGGUUUUUCUCCCAUUUCCUUGGGCCUCCUUCAAAAUUUUGAUCCAAUCCUCAUGUUUCAGUAAUUGUUUUCCCAAUGUAAGAUUCAUCCCAGUAGGUACAGGUGAUAAUGUGUAAAACAGCGUAUAACUGGAUUCUAUCAACUGGUGGGAUACAACUGGUGCUAAGUAAGAAAAGUCACACCCGACAAUCUUAACAAAAUUACAAACACAGGAAUUAGACUGAUUCUUGCUAUCUGUAAUCAUCUUGUCUAUUGUUACAGAGGUACAGGCAGUUCUCAAACACACACAACCCUGACCAAUAUAUAGAAGUAUGGUCUUUUGAUUAGUGUCUGGAUGGAUUUCAAAGUGACAAAUGCCUUGUUCAGGGUCAAGGCAGAUGUCUUGGGCAUCGAUAGGAUUACUUUCGCAAAGAAACCCUUGUUGUUCUCGUGUAAUACAAGACUGCAAAUUUACAGUUUGCCAACUCUCGUUCACCAUUUGUGCCCCUGCCCUAUGUUUGGAAGGACAGAGCACCAUUCUUUCAUGAUUUAAUCCUAACGCAACGAUGGGGUGGAUGACAUAUAUUGAAGCGUUAUGUAUGGUCAACACAAAGGUUGUGGCCACAUUAGUGAUUGGCUCCUAGGUAAAAUUUACCAGAAUCCACCAAGAUUGGAGCUUGCUUUCUAAGUCAGUGGCACUGUCCCAAACAAUUUUCUGAAUUUCGGUGGGGAAAGUGCCUUCGCUACCUUCUCUUAUAGUUAAGGCGGCCACUGACUGCAUCCAUAAUUGUCCUUGUAUACAACUGAGAGACAAAGAAACAUUAUCUUGGAUCACACCGAGUGCAUUUACUAUCAAUUCAUUGUUCUGUUCCUCCCCUUUUCCUACUCUGGUAACACUUUUGGUAACAGCCACUGAUUAGUUCCUAAAGCCAAUAGAGAAGAUCGUAAAGGCUGUUGUAAUAUUGACAAAUUGGUAGUGGUGAUAGCCAAUUUGUUCCCUAGUACCUCUGAGUCAAUGCUAUUCAGAACCCCCAAUCCUGUUCCCACAACACCUGUCAGAUCUCUUCGUUGUCUCUGAAAAGUUGCCCUUUUACAUAGCCAGGUGGUCCAUCCCUCGUAAGAGGUUCGUUAAAUUCAACACGCUGGUUGAAUUUCUGAGGCACUGUUUUGCAUCAGCAACUCAACCUGUUUAAGAGGCCCCUCCGGGUUAAACAGCAUUUGCUGUUGGCCCGUGUUCCUUAUUAUAUACGGACCGAUCUCAUAAAUUCUGGGUUUGAGUGCUGGUGUAGGUUGUGUGAUCUGGUUUGGGGCUUGAGUGCUGGCAUAGGUUGCAACAGGCUCAGCUAUGGCAUCUAUUUUAAAUUUGAAUGAGAGCCCACUAGUAGCGUAGGCCCAAACCACCCUAACGGUCUGUACUAAUGUAAAAUUAUGCCAACAGUCUAAUUCAUUUGAAAUACAGGUCUGUGUGUUCUUAUCUGUAGGAGUAGUUGAGAUAGUAAUUUGGGAUGUCAACUCACUGUGGUUCCACAGUCCUCUCUGCAAGAGACUUUUCAUAUACAUAAUUUCCGGGCCGUAUGCUAUGCACAGGUCCAUCCCAACUCCUACCUUGCGUCCCAACCAGGUUUUCCAAUUUUUCUAAGUUGUUUGCCCAAUGCCACCAUGUAGAAGGUCAUGAUUUCAUCCCCAGCUUGUGUGGACAUCCCUUUCUCUAUUCCAUAGGGUCGUCCUUACAAGAUUUCAAAAGGGCUCAGUCCUUCUUUUACCCUUGGUCUGAUUCAUAUGCGCAAGAGACUCAGGGGAAGAGACUGAAGCCAAGCCAGGUUGGUUUCCUGUCCCAAUUUCACAAUUUGCUGCUUAAUCAAGUGAUUCAUCUCCUCUACUCAGCCACUCAACUGAGGGCAAUAUGGGGUAUGAAGCUGCCAAUCCAUACCCAAAUAGUGACUGAUUUGUUGUACUACUUUUGAGAUAAAAUGUGGUCCCCUAUCAGGAGACAUGGUUGCUGGAACCCCAAAGCGUGCUAUUGUCUCCUGGAUUAAUGUUCUGGUUACCUCUCGAGCCUUGGCUGUUCUAGUAGGGAAUGCCUCCGGCCAACCUGAGAAGAUAUCAGUUACUACCAAUAAGUAUCUAUACCCCCCUUUUCUUGGGAGUUCCGAAAAAUCAAUCUGCCACAGUUCCCAGGCCCAUUGACUCUUCCAAUUUGGCCCAUUUCUGGUUUGCGGUAAUUUUGGGAUUAGUCUGGAGACAAAGGUCACACUGCUCAGUCACUUGUCUCACAGUGGUGCAUAAAUUUCUAGCUGCAAUCUCUUUAAUUCGGAGUUUAUAUAGGACUUUUGCCCCCCAAUGCCUCUUCCUGUGUUCCUCCCUUAUCAAAGACCAUGUUAAAUAAGAGGGAAUGAUUAGUUUCCCCUGUGGGGUGGGGGGCCCACCCCUCUUUAUAAUACGACCCUUCCAGGUCUGUGAGAAGCUUCUGAUCUUCCCUGGUAUAUUCUGGCUUACCUUCUAGGGAGAUUCGCCCGUCAGGGACCAAAGCCCCUUCGGUUUUUACCUCACCUUUGGCUGCCGGUUUUGCCUCUCUGUCCAUCAGCUCAUUUCCUCUUUCCAAUUCCAAAUUCAUUUUCUGGUGCACCUGGAUGGGCAUGAUUGUUGCUUUCUCAGGUAGCUGGACUGUUUCUGGCACUCUCAGAAUCCCUCUGCAUGCUUGAUGCUUUUGCCCCGGCAUGUCUUUUUUCCACUUAAGACAUAGCUGCUCCCAUCCGUGAACCAGCUCUCCGCCUCUUCCAUGGGACUGUCUUUCAGGUCUGAACGGCUCGAGCAUGUGGCCGCGAUGGUCUUUAAGCAGUCACGGUGCACUGGUUCUCCUCUAUUUCCACUGAGGAAAGAAGCUGGCUUGAUGAUGUUAGUGACCACAAUUCCCACAUCAUCACGUUCCACCAGUAUAGCUUGGUAUGUAAGGAACCUUUGUGGAGAAAGCCAGUGCCCACCUUUCACUUCCAGUACUGCAGAUGCUGUAUGGGACACUAACACAGUCAUUUUCUGGCCCAAGGUCAAUCUUCACAUCUCCUGGAUGUUUAGCACUAUGGUUGCAACCGCUCCUAAACAACCAGGCCCUCGGGCAAUCUCUUGCUUCUCAUCAGAGAAAAGGAAAAAUGGCUUACUCACAUCUGGGAGUCCUAAGGCCAGGGCCCACAUCAGGGCUUUCUUCAGCUGUUCCAAGUCUUGUACAGCCUCUUUGCUCCAUUGAAUGUAUUUCUUUUUGGCAGUGGUUAGUGCAUACAGAGCUUUAACAAGCAGCCCAUCGUUACAGAUCCAUAGCCGACACCACCCAGUCAUCCCCAAGAAAGUUCGCAACCCCUUCACUGUUUGCGGUCUCGGAGUUUGUCAUAUUGCCUCUUCUUGGGUCUGCUCCAAAGUUCUUUGUCCAGCGCUGAUUUCAUAGCCCAGAUAGAUCACCUCGCAUUGCAUUAUCUGGGCAUUCUGUUUAGAUACCCGGUAUCCCUGGAGCCCCAAAAAGUUUAACAGACCCACCGUCCAGGUCAUGCAAGCGUUGUCUUGGUGGAAAUCAGGAUAUUACCUACGUACUGCAACAGUCUCCCUUCCUCAGGUGGGGCUUCCCAGGACUCAAGAUCCUUUGCAAGUCAAUUACCAAAUACCCAGGUGAGUCGAGUUCUGUGCUCGCUUUUAGGGUUUUCCCAUUCAAAUGCAAAUAUUUUCUGGCUGGCUUCAUGGAGAGGGAGGCAAAAGCAGGCAUCCUUCAGGUCUAAAACAGCAAACCAGGUUAGUUCAGGUAUUAAUAGAGUCAACAGGAUAUAUGAAUUUGCCACCACCGGGUAGAGGUCUUCAGUUAUUUUAUUUAAAGCCCAUAAGUGCCAGGCACAUCGGUGACCCAUACCUCAGGGUAUACCCGGUUUGUGAUUUCUUCACCGAUUUUUUCUUUCUGUGGGAACCCUGGCUAGGGAUAAACUCAUUAUUUGUAUACACUGCUGGUCAUUUACCUCCAGAGUAAUCUCUCCCUUUUCAAAUUUAAUUAUUGCACCCAAAUGUCCUAAUAAGUCUCUCCACAAAAAUGCGUUCGGGGAGUUGGGCAUAUACAAGAAUCUGUGGAUGCCCCAUUAUUUUCCCAGUUUAUAACUUAGAGGUUCACAAAAAUACGCGUUUUCACUUUGGCCAGCUGCCUCUUUUACCAUGACAUAGUCAUUUCCUAGGGGCAUCAAAGCUUGGUUCAAAACUGUUUAUGUUGCCCCUGUAUCAACUAAAAAUUCUACCUUCUUUUCCUCUUCCCCUGGAUUCCCCAGCUCCCCGUCAGUCUUCCUUCACUGUUCUUCUUUUAGACUGGCCCAGAACCAAAGAAACUAGCUGUUGCAUUCCUACCUCUGACCCAAGAUCCAGCAGUGUAUGGCAGCGCAUCACAGCCCUCAGUCGAUCUAGGAAUUCAGACGAUGACUCAGAGGAACCUUGUUUCAUUGUUUGGGAAUGGCCCUUUCCAUUCUCUUUGAAAUCCACCCCAAUAUGCCUGUAAUGUUUCUAUAUAUUUGGAUCUGUUUGGAUCCCACAUUGGGUCUUGGAGGGGAAAAUACUCUUUCCAAAUCCCCUGCAGUUUUUCCACCUUCCCAGAGAGGUGCCUGCAAAACUGUCAAAGCAAACCUCUUCAUGGUGUUAGCGUAGAGACAAACACAUAACCAUACGAAGAAGGUUAUAUGUGGUGCUUUAUUUCGAGGCCCCGGGAACCAGGGGUACGCACCCAAAUCUGGUUCCAAAGACCGUCACAUCGCGUUCGCCAUUUAUCCUUAAAGUGUUGCUCAAUCUGUUACAUAUUCAAAAGGUCUCCGCCUAACUUGUUACAUAUUCAUUUCAAGAUUGCUCCAGCCAGUCUUGCAACAUUAACCCUUACUGCGCUGGCGCACCCUCUUUCGGUGGUCGUGGGGAUGAAGAAAAUACUCUUCCUCGGAUGAAGUAACUCAUCUUCCUCAUACUGUCCUUUUCACCUUUGGGCUUCUGGCAGAUCAUCAACCUCCCGAAGGACUGGUUGGAUUUCAGCAUUCUUUACAUUUUUAUGCAAACUGUUAGCUUUUUGCAAGUUUACUGCUUGUAUUAGAUAAAGAUACUAACUCUAUGUCCUGUUAACAUGGAUAAGAUUUCUUCUAGCUCAGCAAGAGUUUUCAGCAUCCCUUCCCAAAUAAGGAUACCUCGAGACUAUACCCUGGAGCAAGCGAAAUUUCAACAGAGUAGUUAGUUUUUUACCUAUAUUUAAUAGAAUUGUUAGAACCAUUAGUUAUUCGACUAUAUUUUAGUAUGACAAACUAGAGUUUUCCAACAUUGAGACAUAGCGGGGCGGCGGCGCGCACCACUCCACUGCUUCGCAUCCGCCCCGCGGCCGCUUCCGGCCGGGCACUUCGGGCGGGGGAAGGAGGUGCUCCGGGAGGGGCGGGGCCGGAAGGGGCGGUGGGGCAGAGCCGCUUCCGGUGCGAGCGCAGCGACGGGGCAGGUGAGGGCCCGGGCCUCAAUGUUAUGGGCCAGCCUGCAGCAUCGAGGACCAAGUGGCCCGUGCCCUCACCUCCCUCAUGAGCCGCCUGAGGAACAGCUUCUUUGCCGUGUAUGCAUGACCCAUUCCUGCUGUGGGCUGGUGAGAAUGGGGAUGUCUGAGGGUUAAUGCAAGCCCAGGGGAGAGCAGAGGGUGCUCUCCACCUAGCAGCCAAAGGGCUCCCACUCUGGUGCCGAAGCUCGGGCACGGCUCGUGCUGGGGCUGCUUCCCAGCAGAGCGAAGAGCAAAAGCCCCUCAGCAGACGCACUGCCACACAAGAUCUGUGUGACAUCAAGGGAGAACAGACCUGCUUCCCAGCCAAAGAGAGAGAAAGGGCCACACCGGAGAGGCUGUGGCAAAGCAAGCUUCAUUUUCUCCACCUCUUCACUUACCCGGAUUGUUUUCCUUUCCUUUUGGACAGUGCUCCUGAAGCCCUUCCUUUGGGGAAGAGCUGCUGGCAGUGUUGAACGGCGUGGAGAGGAAUCCCGUUCCUCCUGGAUGCUGCUCUGUCACCUCACUGCCAGCAGCAGUUUUUCAGCCCCGGGAGGGAAAUGCACCUGGAAAGGCUUUACCCGAGACUUGGGCCCUUGACAGCCACCGGACUCCCUCUUUUCCAGAAAAGAGACAGUGCUGCAGCGAGAGCAGCUCUUGAAAAUACUGCUUGUGGCAUUUGUGUUAUUUCUCAGUGAGUUUUCCUGAGCAAACCUGGGAAGGCGACAGCCCAGCUGUGCUGCAUGCCAGCUUCCAGCUUUCCUUUGGGGCCAGGACGUGGCCCAAGCGCUUCCUGAGCACAGCCAUGCCCGGCACUGGCUUUUGGCCUCCCAGUCAGACCAGCAGCGUCCUGGCCGAGGUGAUGCUCCAGCCAUGGGAGCAAGUGGCUCGCUCCGUCGGCGGGAGAUGAGCGCAGCUAUUCCCAAGCCUCAACUGGGGAUUGCCGGAGGGGAGAGCCGUGCAGGGGGAGCGAUGGAGAGGUGCCUCCCAGCCCGUGUAGCCUGGUCUGGGUGCUCCCUGAAGCACUGAGGGGGAACAGGACAGGGCUGCGGGGCACCGAGCACGCCUGGGACCCAGCCUGGUCCCCUCCACCCCUGGAACGGCCAGGAGACUGCACCUGCCGGGAUCGCUGGCCACCCCGCUCCAAUCAAUGCCUCUUGGUUCUGCUGCAGCUAUUGUUUUUGGCUGAACCUGGUGCACGUCAGGAACACAGAGAAAGUCAGAGGUGGGGGACUGUGGUGGGGCCGGCACGUCCUGCGAGGGAGCGCUGCUGCCGGGGGCUGGGUCCAGCUGAGGCUCUUGAGCUGCCACGCAGGGUGGCCCAAAGCAGCAGCUUUUGCCGUCUCUUCCUAGGGGAGCCUCUCCUGGGAAGCCCCAGUGGCUCUGGCAGGGGAUGCUCAAACACAGUGUUUUUCCAUUUUCAGGGACAGACAAGUGUCUUAGAUAACAAUCUGGAGAAGCUGAGGUGAGAGCUUUCAAGGACCCUACUAACAGGCAGUGUGAAUUGCAAUGAACUAAGCUUUUCCCUUAUAUGGUGCGGUUUACAAUAAACUAAGAUGCUUCGAAGUUUCUUUCCCUAUAUCUUAUAUGUUUGCCUAUCAAUUCCGCCCUGUCUUUAAUGCUAGGCAAAGUCGUUUGCGUUAUACAUGAUCUGUUUCUCGAAGGGAAUGGGAUAAUACUUUGCUUGAAAUUUUCCCCUCAGUGCAUUCUUAAGCGCAGUAGACAUACAAGUUAGAACUGUCAGUCGCUGUAACAUUUUCCCAUUCCAAACAAACAGUGUAACAGACAAAGCAAGGCUGACUAAAACUAGUAUUAAAAGAAUGACAAUGGUGUGACUCAACUUAUUUAGAAUGUCAGUCGCAGCAGGUGACCAUCCAAAAAGUACAUCCCACCAAGUCUUGGCUUGCAUCUUCUUUCACCCUUUUCAGGACCCUAUUUAUUUCCUCUGUGUCUUGAUGGAUUGUUAUCAGGGUUUUUUUCUCCCAUUUCCUUGGACCUCCUUCAAAAUUUUGAUCCAAUCCUCAUGUUUCAGUAAUUGUUUUCCCAAUGUUAGAUUCAUUCCAGUCGGUACAGGUGAUAAUGUGUAAAACAAUGUAUAACUGGAUUCUAUCAACUGGUGGGAUACGACUGGUGCUAAGUAAGAAAAGUCACACCCAACAAUCUUAACAAAAUUACAAACACAGGAAUUAGAAUGAUUCUUGCUAUCUGUAAUUAUCUUGUCUAUUGUUACAGAGGUACAGGCAGUUCUCAAACACACACAACCCUGACCAAUAUAUAGAAGUAUGGUCUUUUGAUUAGCGUCUGGAUGGAUUUCAAAGUGACAAAUGCCUUGUUCAGGGUCAAGGCAGAUGUCUUGAGCAUCGAUUGGAUUACUUUCGCAAAUAAACCCUUGUUGUUCUCGUGUAACACAAGACUGCAAAUUUACAGUUUGCCAACUCCCGUUCACCAUUUGUGCCCCUGCCCUAUGUUUGGAAAGACAGAGCACCAUUCUUUUAUGAUUUAAUCCUAAUGCAAUGAUGGGGUGGAUUACAUAUAUUGAAGCGUUAUGUAUGGUCAACACAAAGGUUGUGGCCACAUUAGUGAUAGGUUCCUAGGUAAAAUUUACCAGAAUCCACCAAGAUUGGAGCUUGC